ACCCGCCAGCCCCGCGCUCUACCAGGCAGAGCGCGUGUGGCCGCCGAGCACAUGGACCCACUGGUCAAGCGGGCUCGGCAAGGCCAGGAUGAAGAGAAGCUACGAACUUAGCAUUCCCAGAGCCCCCCGAGUGGAUAUCCGCGUGGAAAGGAUGUUGGCAGCCCCGGUGACCUCGGAGUCACGGCUGGAUCCACCCUCUUAGAGCCGAGUUCUGUCACCACAGACAUUGGCAGUGGCACUUGCAUGCCCCUGGCAAGCAGUCUAUCCUGAGGUGGAGGAAGUUGCCCUUGAGUUCUGGCUGGUAACCAGCACAGUAUACCCUUUAAGCGUUCCAGAAGGAUUUUGAGAUCCUUUCCUAAAUCAAAGGUGGAAUAUUUGGGGAUUUGGAAAAUUGAGAUGUGAAGCGUUGACUUAAGAGAUGCCAAGUAACUCAGCAGAUGUCACACAGACGAUAAAUAGCAAAGAUGGAAGUCUUCAUGCCGGAGGCAAUCCUAUAAGACAGCUGAGUUCUGCAGAGCUGGUAGGAGACAGACUUGCUCAGGUGAUAGAUCCAGCCAUGAUACUGACCCUAAGAGAAUGAGACGCUCUGCAGAAGACAGAAGAUUCCUGAAACUGGGAAAGGUGCCUAGAAAUCCUGAUAAGAGUGAAGAAGGGUACCUGGAGGCACAGCAGCCAUGUUGAACCUAUGAGGUGAUGAAAAACCAUGCAACUAGAAACCAGAAUGGAAGAAAAGAAGAAGCUGGAUCCUUGACUGAAUUGUCGAUGGGGGAUAGUCCAUCAUCCCAGGGCUAAGACCACCUCCAGAUUUCUUGUUUGGUGAAACAAGUCCUGAUUGUUUACAUUCCCUCGUGUUGAGCUGUCUCUUGCUUGUAGCUGAAAGCAUUUCUAAUAGAUAUUCAGAUUAUCAGCCUUAGCUCCAAGCUAGAAUACUCUAUGGGACCUUAGCUUCUCCAUGAAUUCCUUUGCUCAUCUGUGUAAUGCUCAAUAAAUGUAAAUUGAACCCUGAAUGAGGGACAAUGACACUA
rnacentral:lncRNA from 1 species